rnacentral:ncRNA from 1 species
CUUUGCAAUCGCGGGAGCUCGGAGCACCGGGCUGAGAGGGCGCUGACCUCCGUCCCAGCGGCGUUUCACGUGAAACGCCGGCGGACGGAAGCCGCUGCGUCGACCGCCGAACCUGUUACCGGGUAAUGCCGGCGUAGGGAGUUGGGUCUCAUGACUC